AUUGAACGCUGGCGGCAUGCCUAACACAUGCAAGUCGAGCGGAGUGGCGGACGGGUGAGUAAUGCCUAGGAAUCUGCCUAGUAGCGGGGGAUACAGUCCGGAAACGGGCGCUAAUACCUCAUACUAUUGGAGCGGCCUGAAUCGGAUUAGCUAGUGGGGGGGGUAAAGGCCUCCCAAGGCGACGAUCCGGAACUGGUCUGAUAGGAUGAUCAGUCACACUGGAACUGAGACACGGUCCAGACUCCUACGGGAGGCAGCAGUGGGGAAUAUUGGACAAUGGGCGAAAGCCUGAUCCAGCCAUGCCGCGUGUGUGACGAAGGUCUUCGGAUUGUAAAGCACUUUAAGUUGGGAGGCGUUACCUACAGAAUAAGCACCGGCUAACUUCGUGCCAGCAGCCGCGGUAAUUC
rnacentral:rRNA from 1 species